rnacentral:rRNA from 1 species
UGGAAACGGUAGCUAAUACCGCAUAACGUCGCAAGACCAAAGAGGGGGACCUUCGGGCCUCUUGCCAUCGGAUGUGCCCAGAUGGGAUUAGCUAGUAGGUGAGGUAACGGCUCACCUAGGCGACGAUCCCUAGCUGGUCUGAGAGGAUGACCAGCCACACUGGAACUGAGACACGGUCCAGACUCCUACGGGAGGCAGCAUG